rnacentral:rRNA from 1 species
GGCGGCAGGCCUCAAACAUGCAAGUCUAGGGGGUGUAGCAAUACAUCACCGGCGGACGGGUGCGUAACACGUGGGAAUAUACCUUUUGGUUCGGAACAACGCAGGGAAACUUGCGCUAAUACCGAAUGUGCCCUUACGGGGAAAGAUUUAUCGCCAAAGGAUUAGCCCGCGUAGGAUUAGCUAGUUGGUGAGGUAAUGGCUCACCAAGGCUCCGAUCCUUAGCUGUUCUGAGAGGAAGAUCAGCCACACUGGGACUGAGACACGGCCCAGACUCCUACGGGAGGCAGCAGUUGGGAAUCUUGGACAAUGGGGGAAACCCUGAUCCAGCCAUGCCGCGUGAGUGAUGAAGGCCUUCGGGUUGUAAAACUCUUUCGACGGGGACGAUAAUGACGGUACCCGUAGAAGAAGCUCCGGCUAACUUCGUGCCAGCAGCCGCGGUAAUACGAAGGGGGCUAGCGUUGUUCGGAAUUACUGGGCGUAAAGCGCGCGCAGGCGGUCUUCCAAGUCAGUGGUGAAAGCCCGGAGCUCAACUCCGGAACUGCCAUUGAAACUGUGAGACUUGAGGACGA